CAGUAAUGGAUUUGGGACAGCGCUUAUAUAGUUUUCGCCACAAUCACAGUUCAGUCGAAUAAAUUGUUUUGGCUACGUUUUUACGUCGGAUGGCCUUCUGGCGUAACCCCGGCCGGAAAUCGAAAUGAUACCCUCAGCCAUAAAAGGUAGAAGUGUGUACUAUUACACCGGCAGUUACAGUAUGGGACAGCACUCCACCGUCACAAUAGGCAAGUCUUGAAAGUAAUGUAGGAACGUACAUCCUGCACACAUUGACUCUGCUUGACGCAGUUGUGGCUCAGUAGUAGCUGGAGGAAAACGUCGCGUUGCUUUUUGGGGUCCAGUUGAACGUUUCUAACACCAUGGCUCAGCAUAUGCAUGUGAACACACCGCUACUGGAGAGCGUCAAUAUGUCCAAACGUGUCGGAACCACUGUGUAUUUGAAAAUGGAGAAUUCCCAGCCCUCUGGUUCCUUUAAGCUCCGUGGCAUUGCACACCUGUGCCAGCAGCUUGCAUCACGGUCUAAAGGAAUCGUCUGUCCCUCAGGUGGGAAUGCUGGGAUGGCGGCUGUCUAUGUCGCUAGAAAAAUGUGUUUGCCAGCCACCAUCAUAAUUCCCUCCUCGAGCCCUCAGUUAGUUGUCCAAAGACUACAGGAGCAAGGUGCAACUGUGAAGGUUGUGGGCAAGGACUUUGAAGAUGCUAAGGCCGAGGCUUUUAGAAUUGCUGAAACAGAAGGACUCGUCUAUGUGUCUCCAUUUGACCAUCCCUUGAUAUGGCAGGGCCAUGCCAGUGUAAUCACAGAGGUUGCAACUUCUCUGGGUCCAAAUGUCAAGCCUGGAGCAGUGUUGAUAUCUGUGGGUGGAGGUGGGCUCCUCUGCGGUGUCGUCCAGGGCCUGAAGGAUGUAGGCUGGGUGGACGUUCCCAUCAUUGCCAUGGAGACCGUUGGGGCCGACUCUUUGAAUGCUUCGGUUAAGGCAGGAAGGAUAGUCACCUUGGAUAACAUCACCAGUGAGGCCGUAUGUCUUGGUGCAAAGACAGUCUGUAAGAAAGCAUUUGAAUACACUCAAAGCAAUGAGGUCACAAUCAUUUCUGAACUGGUGACUGACAAGCAGGCACUUCAUGCUUUAGAGACAUUCCUGGUCUUAGUAGGGAAGCCCAGACUUCCCGGUCCCCGACCACCUCCUCCAGCUCCACCGGGAGGACACCAAGGCGUUCUCAGGCCAGCUGUGAGACAUAAUCCCUCCAGCGUGUCCGAGGUCUUCCCCGGGGCCUUCUCCCGGCUGGCCAUGCCCAGGGAGGCGUCCGGGAGGCAUCCGGACGAGAUGCCCAAGCCACCUCAGCUGGCUCCUCUCGAUGUGAAGGAGCAGCGGCUCUACUCUGAGCUCCUCCCGGAUGACCGAGCUCCUCAUCCUAUCUCUUAGGGUGAGUCCCGCUACCCGACGAAGAAAACUCAUUUCAGCCGCUUGUAUCCGCGUGCGAUCUCGUUGUUUCGGUCACGACCCAAAGCUCAUGACCUUAGGUGAGAGUGGGAACAUAGAUCGAACGGUAAAUUGAGAGCUUUGCCUUCUAGCUCAACUCUUUCUUCACCACGACGGUCCUGUACAGCGACCGCAUUACUGCAGACGCUGCGCCGAUCCGCCUAUCGAACUCACGCUCCAACGUUCCCUCACUCGUGAGCAAGACCCCGAGAUACUUGAACUCCUCCACCUGGGGCAGGACCUCAUUCCCAACCCGGAGGGAGCAAUCCACCCUUUUCCGACUGAGAACCAUGGCCUCAGAUUUGGAGGUGCUGAGUCUCAUCCCAGAAGCUUCACACUUGCAAACCGUCCCAGUAAACGCUGCAGGUCACAGCCCGACGAGGCCAUCAGGACCACAUCGUCUGAAAAUAGCAGAGAUGAGAUGCUCAGGCCCCCGAACUGGACACCCUUGACACCUUGACUGUGCCAAGAAAUUCUGUCCAUGAAAAUUAUGAACAGAAUCGGUGACAAAGGGCAGCCUUAGCGGAGGCCAACAUUCACCGGAAACAGUCUUGAUUUACUGCUGUCAAUGCGAACCAGGCUCCUGGUCCGGUUGUGCAAGGACUGAAUGGCACGUAGUAGCUAGUUUUGACUACCCCACAUACCUCAGCCACGGUGAUGGAACUGUCCGUGUUCGUGUCCUCAGCCUCCUUCCUCUACCUUGACAUACCUUCCUCUAUGGAAGGUAUGUCAGUGGGAUUGAGAAGGGCUUCAAAGUAUUCCUUCCACCGCCCAACUAUAUCCUCAGUCGAGGUCAGCAGGCCCCCGUCCCCACUGUAAACAGUGUGGACCGAGCACUGCUUCCCCUUUCUGAGGCGCCGGACGGUUUGCCAGAACCUCUUCGAGGCCGACCGAAAGUCGUGUUCCAUGGCCUCACCGAACUCCUCCCACACCCGAGUUUUUGCCUUGACCACCGCCAGAGCCGCGUGCGGCUUGGCCUGCCGGUACCUAUCAGCUGCUUCAGGAGUCCCACAAGCCAUCCAUGCUCGGUAGGACUACUUUUUCAGCUUGACGGCAGCCCUGACCUCUGGUGUCCACCAUCGGGUUCGGGGCUUGCCGCCACGACUGGCACGGACCACCUUGCGGCCGCAGCUCCGAUCGGCUGCCUCAGCAAUGGAGGCACGGAAUAGAGCCCAUUCGGGCUCAAUAUCCUCCUCUUCCCCUGGGAUGCAGGCGAAGCUCUGCCGGAGGUGAGAGCUGAAGACUCGACGAACAGGAGACUCUGCCAAACGUUCCCAGCACACCCUCACUACACGUUUCGGUCUCCCGGGUCUGCCGGCAUCCUCCCCCGCCAUCUACAACUCCUCACCAUGGUGAUCAGUUGACAGCUCAGCCCCUCUCUUUACCUGCAUGUCCAGAACAUGCGGACGCAGGUCUGAUGAUAUGACUACAAAAUCGAUCAUAGGCCUGCGGCCUAGGGUGUCCUGGUGCCAUGUGCACUUAUGGGCAUCCUUAUGUUUGAACAUGGUGUUUGUGAUGGACAAACUGUGGGUCGCACAGAAGUCCAACAACAUCACACCGCACGGGUUCAGAUCAGGGAGGCCGUUCCUCCCAAUCACGCCCCUCCAGGUCACAGUGUCAUUGUCCACAUGGGCGUAGAAGUAAGGUGGAUUCACGGAGGGGAAAAGUAUUUUUGGAAAAGUAUUUUUGAGAUGUGGUCCUCACACCCGCAAGGAGUGUGGCUGAUGUUAUAUACCUGUAUGAGUGUACUCUACAUUUGUUAGAUGAGGAGCGUGUCCUGGUGGAGAUGGCAUGCGGAGCAGCUCUUGCAGCUGUCUACAGUGGGGUGGUGCAGAGAUUACAGGCUGAAGGUCGUCUCCCGGCUCACAUUGGCCCCCUGCUGGUAAUUGUGUGUGGAGGCAGCAGCAUUAACAUGGAG